GUGGCUAGGCUUUUGAUAGUAAAAUUGGAACAAUACAGAGAAGCUUAGCAUGGCCCCUGCGCAAAUAUGGCUUCUUUAGGUUUAAGUUUUAGAGUAAAUUC
ensembl:snRNA U6 U6 spliceosomal RNA